ensembl:lncRNA
GACCCUGUAAAGUCAUCUGUGAGGCCCUUGUUGUGGCUGUAUGUAGGGUUGCUCUGCCCCAAUUCGACGUGCUGCACCGGGAUUUGAGAGGAGAAGAUUGUGUGUCGAAGACCGAUAUGUCGGGAGGAAUGUGGAUGUGUGGUUUGUCUGUGAUUGUGUGCAUACUAUUGAGUAGCGAAUAUUUUUCCCGGUGUUUGAGUGAGAUCGCUUGCUAGUUUUAUUGUGUGUGAGUGAAGAAGUGAGUGGUAGGAUCUUGUGUUGUCCCAUUCCCCCGUUUUGUCUUGUGUUGUGGCUGAGUGUAUGCCUCUAUUAUAAAUAUCAUUAUUAUUAUUAUUAUUAUUAUUAUUAUUAUUAUGGCUAGGUAAUUUAAAUUGAUACGGGACAAGAUAGUGACUGUUCUGUUUAUUAUUUUGGCCUUGCCCAGCCCUGAAGAG